UACAGAGGUCUCAAGCGUUGUUCGGAUUCAUUGGGCGUAAAGGGUGCGUAGGCGGCGCGGUAAGUCGGGUGUGAAAUCUCGGAGCUUAACUCCGAAACUGCAUUCGAUACUGCCGUGCUUGAGGACUGGAGAGGAGACUGGAAUUUACGGUGUAGCGGUGAAAUGCGCAGAUAUCUGGAGGAACACCGGUGGCGAAGGCGGCAUCCUGGACCAAUUCUGACGCUGAGGAGCGAAAGCCAGGGGAGCCAAAGCGGG
rnacentral:rRNA from 1 species